AGGCACUGAGGUCAGUCUUGGCCCCUCCCUGCUUGAGCCCAGGGUGCAGGGGCAGCAGCCUGGGCCCCAGAGGGCUUGGCAGAUGAGGCAGUGGCCGUCAUUUUUGCUCCUGUACCCUGUCUCCAGUCCCUGCCUUCUACCAUGACCCAAGUUGGAGAAAACGUGGUCAGACAGGCAGUGUUGAGAACCUGCUGUGACUGGCCCUCUGGCUGAGAGCAGCAGGAGCCGCCUCAGAAGCUGGGCGCUCUGGAGCUGCUAACAGGACAAGCGGCUGCCACCCUCAGGGCUGGCCGUCCCCUAAGUGUCUGCGCACCCUCAUUGCCAUCCUACGAUUUCAUCUCUCUUUAUAGGUGUAGAAACCUGGGCUCGGAGAGGUUCGGCAGUUGCUCAAAGCCACACAGCAAGAGGCAGAGCCAGCAUUCAAGCUCUAGACUCCCCAGUCUGUGCUGUGAGGAGCAUGGCCCCCUUCACAAACUCCAUUUUCUCUCCCAUGUCCUCACCCAUCUAGCCUCACGGGUUCAGCUGCCCCCACCCCUCUGGGUGACCACACAGAGGGACCCAUUUUCUGAGACUUACAUUCUUGGAAGCAAGAAAGGCCAUGCCCUGGGCCACCUGGCUCGAGAAGUGGAGCAGGUCACGCAGCUCCAGCGGCCGCCCGUCCUCCUUGUCCAGGUCUGGGGCAGGGAGAGGCAUUGGGAUGGCCCCGCUGACCUCCCUGCCCUGCACUGACCCCAGUAACCCCUCUCUUUCUCAGCCCCAGCACCUCCUCGCACCUUGUUCAGAGAAUGAGUCAUUUGACGACGAAGUGGACACAGGUCUCAUCUCCACGUAGGUGUCCACACCCUGGCUGGAGAAGCCGCUGUCCCUGCAGAGGAGAGGGGCCCAUUAUUUCUGCUGCCCAGCUCAGGCCUCACCCAGCCACUCCACAAAGAAGGGCCCUGAGUCAACUUGGACUUCAGUUUCUGACCCACCCACUUGAGUGAUCAGCGACCUCUGCAUGGCCGUCCAUUGAUCUGGCCUGAGUUCCCAGCCUGCUGAGGCCCAGCAUGAGCCACCCUCUCCAAAGGGUGUCAGAAACUCCGAAGAGGAAGUAGAUCCUGCCAGCCCGCGUGCUCGAGGUCACUGGAUAGAGUGACAUGGUCUCCUUCCCCUUCUGGCUUCCCAGGCUGGGUAGCUGACAGUGGUAAAAUAGGAGCUCAGUGUAUACCCUUCUCCUGAUCCUGCUGCAGCUCCCAGCAGCCUGGCCCAGAAGCCUCACAGGCCCUGAGUCCAAGGCUUGCAGGAGAGCAGCGUGGCUUAGGUGAGCACUGGACGAGGCGGCAGCAGCAGGGUCCAACCAGGCUCCGCCUCUGCCUCUGACUCGUGUGUGACACAAAACUGGCCACUUCCUUUCUGUGGUUCCCCAUGUGGCUCUGUCCACCUGCCUCUGGGUGGCUUCCAGGAAUCACAGCAUUACAGAGCGAGAGAGCAGAGACUCAGAGGUUCAGCCUGGAUGGCUUUUUGGGGAAACAGGCCCAAGUGGACCAAGGACCUGGCCACAGCUAUGCCGUGAUACCUUCUCAUCCAACAAGGAACAGACUCGAUCCCACGUCCCCAUGGCUACUCAAAAUUGGGAUGGGCGCCAUGGGAGAAAUAGGGCCGUUAUCCCCAAGACUUGUCCGUCUCUAGCUAGGUCCCUGAAUAGAUCUUAUACGCACGAUAAAAUGAUUAACACCUGA